rnacentral:rRNA from 1 species
GACGAACGCUGGCGGCGUGCCUAAUACAUGCAAGUAGAACGCUGAAGAGAGGAGCUUGCUCUUCUUGGAUGAGUUGCGAACGGGUGAGUAACGCGUAGGUAACCUGCCUUGUAGCGGGGGAUAACUAUUGGAAACGAUAGCUAAUACCGCAUAACAAUGGAUGACACAUGUCAUUUAUUUGAAAGGGGCAAUUGCUCCACUACAAGAUGGACCUGCGUUGUAUUAGCUAGUAGGUGAGGUAAUGGCUCACCUAGGCGACGAUACAUAGCCGACCUGAGAGGGUGAUCGGCCAAACUGGGACAGAGACACGGCCCAGACUCCUACGGGAGGCAGCAGUAGGGAAUCUUCGGCAAUGGGGGCAACCCUGACCGAGCAACGCCGCGUGAGUGAAGAAGGUUUUCGGAUCGGAAAGCUCUGUUGUAAGUCAAGAACGGGUGUGAGAGUGGAAAGUUCACACUGUGACGGUAGCUUACCAGAAAGGGACGGCUAACUACGUG